GUUUCCCCGGAGACGUCAGGAGCUGAAUGACCCUCAGACCACCGCGAGUGAAGCCCCGCCCCGGGACUCCGGGGCGCACUGAACUGGCAGGUGCGCUUAUCCCGCAGGGGGUGCGAAAAGAGCGAAUCAGCGACCGUUCGCAGGUAACGAGCUGGGAGCCAAUCACCCUCAGUAUAGCUCUGGACUUCGGGGGAGAAGCAGCUUUAAAAAGAGGCACAUGUUGGGUGAAAAAACACAUUCAAAAACCCUAACCGGUGAAAAAGGGUCAACCAGGCUAAAAAGGAAAAACCCGUUGACUGAGUUGGACUUUGUUAAGAGGAAGGGCUUGUCAGGGAGGAUAUUGACAUAGAUGAUUUGGACCGCUACCUUCACGGCCAGCAACCGACCCCUUUAAGGCUGCAAUGUGGACUCGGCACAGCAACAAAGUUUAUUAAGCUGACAGUUUUCCAAAAACAGAUACUGAGGGGCAAAUCUGUGGGUAAACGGCAAAUUGCAUGUCGACCUCCGGUAAUUCCGACUGUAGCGACCCGGCGGAGAGCCACUACACGGAGGAGAGCCGCGACUACGCCCGAAGGUUUGGACACCGGUGCAGACAUAAACAUUUACGGAGGAUUCUGAGGACGGAAGCACAACGUGCGCGGAGGCGUGCACGGAGGCGCGCGCAGAAGGAGAGGGCUGCCAGAACAAGACAUCUUCACACAAGCCUCUUGUGUAAAACGUUCUCGCUUAUGUGGCAGCUUAUAACCUUAAUAAAAUAAUAAGGUUGUGCUUAUAAAAAAGUUUUAAGUUGGUUUAUUUACAAACAGAUAAAAAAAUGUCCAAUGAUUUUUUUUA